rnacentral:rRNA from 1 species
GAUGAACGCUGGCGGCGUGCCUAAUACAUGCAAGUCGAGCGAACAGACGAGGAGCUUGCUCCUCUGACGUUAGCGGCGGACGGGUGAGUAACACGUGGAUAACCUACCUAUAAGACUGGGAUAACUUCGGGAAACCGGAGCUAAUACCGGAUAAUAUAUUGAACCGCAUGGUUCAAUAGUGAAAGACGGUUUUGCUGUCACUUAUAGAUGGAUCCGCGCCGCAUUAGCUAGUUGGUAAGGUAACGGCUUACCAAGGCAACGAUGCGUAGCCGACCUGCGAGGGUGAUCGGCCACACUGGAACUGAGACACGGUCCAGACUCCUACGGGAGGCAGCAGUAGGGAAUCUUCCGCAAUGGGCGAAAGCUUGACGGAGCAACGCCGCGUGAGUGAUGAAGGUCUUCGGAUCGUAAAACUCUGUUAUUAGGGAAGAACAAAUGUGUAAGUAACUAUGCACGUCUUGACGGUACCUAAUCAGAAAGCCACGGCUAACUACGUG